GUUAUCUGUAUGAGGUCUUUUCACAAUUUAACGCGGUGUUGUUAAAUCACAAGUUUGUAGCUUCAGCAGUGACUGCAAUAAACUGAACAUUUAUUAUUGUUUCGGGAUGCCACAAUUUCGUGAGACGGAGGCAUAUCUACACCACAUGGGAGCCUGUGGCAAAAUGCAGCCUGAGCAGCCCGACAAGGAAUCUGAUCUGCUUGCUUUGACAAGGUAUGGCUGGGCCUGCAGAGAAAGUGUAAGCAGACUGUGCUGUGUUGCUGAUCAGUGCCGAUCUCCACACCUGAGUUGGUCCCACAACAUCCAGGCACGAGCGUGCUUGGCUUCAUCAUUGACAAGGUGCGCCGAAAGCUGUCACUCAAGCAACA